AUGGGACUCUCAAGUGCUGUGGCAUGGUGGGAGGAGUGGCAGCUGCGCAUCCUCGUCCUCAUCAGCCUCUUCAUCCAGUACAUCCUCUUCUUUUCCGACUAUGUUCGUAGGGUUCCUGUCCUACGCAGGUUGAGAGUGCUGGUGUGGAUCGCAUAUGUAAGCAGCGAUGCCGUGGCGAUCUUUGCCCUUGCCACCCUCUUCAACCGCCACAGGCACACUUGUGAUGAGGAGGGCAGCAACCUGGAGGUCCUUUGGGUGCCUGUCCUCCUAAUCCACCUUGGUGGCCAAUCAAUGAUAUCUGCCUACAGCCUCGAAGACAACGAGCUAUGGAAACGACAUAUAGUAACCCUUGUGUCUCAGGUCACGGUCGCGUUGUACGUCUUCUGCAGAUGGUGGUCCGGCGAGAAAACGCAGCUGGCGGCAGGGGUCGUGCUCUUUAUUUUUGGCGUCCUCAGAUUCGCUCAGAAGCCAUGGGCCCUUAGGAUCGCCAGCUUCAACAGCCUCCAGUCCAGCACGGUGCCCCUGAGAAGGGGGCAAAGAGAAUAUACGCCUACGGAAUAUGUAGAAGCAGCAAAGAGGUGCGUACUGGACACGAAGGUAAAUAUUGAAUAUAAAUACAAUAUGGAUUGCAUGUUCGUUGAUCAGUCUGCUCCAUACUCUGUUCGAAUUGAAGGGUUAACAUCUUUCCUGAAGCUUAAAGAUAAGCAUGCAUACAGUGAGUUGCAGAAGGGGAUAUCUAAUACAUAUGAUGGCAUGUACACCAGAGUUAGAUCAGUUGUCACUGGACUUGGCAUUAGCGAAUUUUUUUUGUUUCCGCUACUAGCCUUGGCUUCUAUUGUGCUGUUUGCCAAGAGCCACAAGGAUGGUCAGAACGAAAAGGACAUUAGGGUGACAUACAUCCUAUUAUGCUGUACCACCGUGUUGGAGCUCUUGUUUCCUUUCAUGUUAUUCUUAUCCCUAGUAGUUCCAUCUAUCUAUAAAUUGAUUCAAGAUCCUGUCGAGGGGUGGCACGACAUGGUUUCACAGCACAACAUCAUGUCCUUGUGUGUUCGCAAGAAGAAGCCCACAUUCCUGAUGAAGGUUGCUACCUUUGACUUUCUAAGGGAGCUGCUUAACCAACAUUGGUAUAUUCAGAAAGUACCAAUAGCCUACCAGAUCACGGGUAUGGUUCGCCGGCACAUGGAAGUUGGUUGGAAGGAGUACAUAUGUGAUGCUGCAAGUUACAGGAGCUUCAGUGCGCUCCGAGGUCAGUGGGCUGUAAGGAUGCACCAUCAUCAGCUAGCUUGGAGCUUGAAGAUGCCUUUCGAUGAGAGCGUUCUUGUCUGGCAUGUCGCCACAGACCUCUGCUUUUAUCACCCUGACACAUCCCCUCAAUGCCGGCAAGGAGAAGCCACACAACACAGCAGGGAGAUAUCCAACUAUAUGUUCUAUCUGCUUCUCAUCCGUCCUGAGAUGCUAAUGCUUGGUGCCAAAUCAUAUAUCGUCACCUUGGCCAGCGAUAAAAUUGUGAAAAACAGCAAGGGACUACUCGAACCGACAGAAGAAAGUCUGGCGCGUGAGAUCUUUAACUUGUCGCCCUCUGCACCUGAUAUGGUUUCCAAUGCAUGCAAGCUUGCCAAAGCGCUGAUGGAGUUGGGUGGCGAUGAGAGGUGGACUGUGAUCCAAGGCGUGUGGGUGGAGAUGCUCUGCUAUUCCGCCAGCAGAUGCAGGGGCUACCUGCAUGCUAAGAGCUUGGGUGACGGCGGGGAAUGCCUCACCUACAUUUAUCUCCUUUGGUCGUUCAUGGGAAUGGAGACACUGGCGGAUAGGCAUCACAUGUCAGAGCCUCUUCCUUUCGAUUCCCAAGGCAGACACGGUCAAUCUGCAGAAGGUGACAUGCCCUAG
rnacentral:rRNA from 1 species